UACCGACCGAGUUAUAGGCAAAUUUUGGUGCAAAAAUGAGUCUUAUGAAAUUUUCAAAUUUUUAUAUUUUUUUCAAUUUUUUCAGAUUUUUUACUCUUUUUUUUAUUUAAAGCAUUGUUUGAGUGAAAAGAAACUCAUUGCAACCAAUUGGCAUUAAAAUAAAUCAAUUUAAAUUUUUUUGCAAAAUUUCUCAAAAAAAUGGCAAGGGGUACCCCUUAUGAAAUUUUCGAGUUGAAAAUUUUUUAAAAAUUUUUUUCUGAUUUUUUAUUUUUUUUUAAAUUUAAAGCACUAUUUAAGUGAAAAGAAACUUAUUGCAACAAAAUUCGCAUUAAAAUAUACCACAUUUUUCAAUUUUGCUAAAUUACUCAAAAAAUGAGAAAAUUUUUACAUUUUCUCAAACAGGGUAAGGAACUUGGUUCCUCGAAUAACUUCUGGCACAGACAUCUGAGGGCAUGGCCGUCCAAGAAGAAAAUGUAGCCAUUAUUGCCAUCUAUCGACCACAGGUUAAAGAUUGGCGAUCCGUUGGAUACCGACCGAGUUAUAGGCAAAAUUUGGUGCAAAAAUGAGUCUUAUGAAAUUUUAAAAUUUUUAUAUUUUUUUCAAUUUUUUCAGAUUUUUUACUCUUUUUUUUAUUUAAAGCAUUGUUUGAGUGAAAAGAAACUCAUUGCAACCAAUUGGCAUUAAAAUAAAUCAAUUUAAAUUUUUUUGCAAAAUUUCUCAAAAAAAUGGCAAGGGGUACCCCUUAUGAAAUUUUCGAGUUGAAAAUUUUUUAAAAAUUUUUUUCUGAUUUUUUAUUUUUUUUUAAAUUUAAAGCACUAUUUAAGUGAAAAGAAACUUAUUGCAACAAAAUUCGCAUUAAAAUAUACCACAUUUUUCAAUUUUGCUAAAUUACUCAAAAAUGAGAAAAUUUUUACAUUUUCUCAAACAGGGUAAGGAACUUGGUUCCUCGAAUAACUUCUGGCACAGACAUCUGAGGGCAUGGCCGUCCAAGAAGAAAAUGUAGCCAUUAUUGCCAUCUAUCGACCACAGGUUAAAGAUUGGAGAUCCGUUGGAUACCGACCGAGUUAUAGCCAAAACUUGGUGCAAAAAUGAGGAAAAUUUUACAUUUUCUCAAACAGGGUAAGGAAUUUGGUUCCUCGAAUAACUUCUGGCACAGACAUCUGAGGGCAAGGCCGUCCAAGAAGAAAAUGUAGCCAUUAUUGCCAUCUAUCGACCACAGGUUAAAGAUUGGCGAUCCGUUGGAUACCGACCGAGUUAUAGCCAAAACUUGGUGCAAAAAUGAGGAAAAUUUUACAUUUUCUCAAACAGGGUAAGGAACUUGGUUCCUCGAAUAACUUCUGGCACAGACAUCUGAGGGCAUGGCCGUCCAAGAAGAAAAUGUAGCCAUUAUUGCCAUCUAUCGACCACAGGUUAAAGAUUGGCGAUCCGUUGGAUACCGACCGAGUUAUAGCAAAAACUUGGUGCAAAAAUGAGGAAAAUUUUACAUUUUCUCAAACAGGGUAAGGAACUUGGUUCCUCGAAUAACUUCUGGCACAGACAUCUGAGGGCAAGGCCGUCCAAGAAGAAAAUGUAGCCAUUAUUGCCAUCUAUCGACCACAGGUUAAAGAUUGGCGAUCCGUUGGAUACCGACCGAGUUAUAGGCAAAAUUUGGCGCAAAAAUGAGGAAAAUUUUACAUUUUCUCAAACAGGGUAAGGAACUUGGUUCCUCGAAUAACUUCUGGCACAGACAUCUGAGGGCAUGGCCGUCCAAGAAGAAAAUGUAGCCAUUAUUGUCAUCUAUCGACCACAGGUUAAAGAUUGGAGAUCCGUUGGAUACCGACCGAGUUAUAGGCAAAAUUUGGCGCAAAAAUGAGGAAAAUUUUACAUUUUCUCAAACAGGGUAAGGAACUUGGUUCCUCGAAUAACUUCUGGCACAGACAUCUGAGGGCAUGGCCGUCCAAGAAUAAAAUGUAGCCAUUAGUGCCAUCUAUCGACCACAGGUUGAAGAUUGGCGAUCUGUUGGAUACCGACCGAGUUAUAGGCAAAAUUUGGUGCAAAAAUGAGUCUUAUGAAAUUUUCAAAUUUUUAUAUUUUUUUCAAUUUUUUCAGAUUUUUUACUCUUUUUUUUAUUUAAAGCAUUGUUUGAGUGAAAAGAAACUCAUUGCAACCAAUUGGCAUUAAAAUAAAUCAAUUUAAUUUUUUUUGCAAAAUUUCUCAAAAAAAUGGCAAGGGGUACCCCUUAUGAAAUUUUCGAGUUGAAAAUUUUUUAAAAUUUUUUUUCUGAUUUUUUAUUCUUUUUUAAAUUUAAAGCACUAUUUAAGUGAAAAGAAACUUAUUGCAACAAAAUUCGCAUUAAAAUAUACCACAUUUUUCAAUUUUGCUAAAUUACUCAAAAAUGAGGAAAAUUUUACAUUUUCUCAAACAGGGUAAGGAACUUGGUUCCUCGAAUAACUUCUGGCACAGACAUCUGAGGGCAUGGCCGUAAAAGAAAAAUUUUACGUUUUCUCAAACAGGGUAAGGAACUUGGUUCCUCGAAUAACUUCUGGCACAGACAUCUGAGGGCAUGGCCGUCCAAGAAGAAAAUGUAGCCAUUAGUGCCAUCUAUCGACCACAGGUUAAAGAUUGGCGAUCCGUUGGAUACCGACCGAGUUAUAGCCAAAACUUGGUGCAAAAAUGAGGAAAAUUUUACAUUUUCUCAAACAGGGUAAGGAACUUGGUUCCUCGAAUAACUUCUGGCACAGACAUCUGAGGGCAUGGCCGUCCAAGAAGAAAAUGUAGCCAUUAUUGCCAUCUAUCGACCACAGGUUAAAGAUUGGCGAUCCGUUGGAUAUGGACCGAGUUAUAGGCAAAAUUUGGUGCAAAAAUGAGAAAAAUUUUACGUUUUCUCAAACAGGGUAAGGAACUUGGUUCCUCGAAUAACUUCUGGCACAGACAUCUGAGGGCAAGGCCGUCCAAGAAGAAAAUGUAGCCAUUAUUGCCAUCUAUCGACCACAGGUUAAAGAUUGGCGUUCCGUUGGAUACCGACCGAGUUAUAGCCAAAACUUGGUGCAAAAAUGAGGAAAAUUUUACAUUUUCUCAAACAGGGUAAGGAACUUGGUUCCUCGAAUAACUUCUGGUACAGACAUCUGAGGGCAAGGCCGUCCAAGAAGAAAAUGUAGCCAUUAUUGCCAUCUAUCGACCACAGGUUAAAGAUUGGCGAUCCGUUGGAUAUGGACCGAGUUAUAGGCAAAAUUUGGUGCAAAAAUGAGAAAAAUUUUACGUUUUCUCAAACAGGGUAAGGAACUUGGUUCCUCGAAUAACUUCUGGCACAGACAUCUGAGGGCAAGGCCGUCCAAGAAGAAAAUGUAGCCAUUAUUGCCAUCUAUCGACCACAGGUUAAAGAUUGGCGAUCCGUUGGAUACCGACCGAGUUAUAGGCAAAACUUGGUGCAAAAAUGAGGAAAAUUUUACAUUUUCUCAAACAGGGUAAGGAACUUGGUUCCUCGAAUAACUUCUGGUACAGACAUCUGAGGGCAAGGCCGUCCAAGAAGAAAAUGUAGCCAUUAUUGCCAUCUAUCGACCACAGGUUAAAGAUUGGCGAUCCGUUGGAUACCGACCGAGUUAUAGCCAAAACUUGGUGCAAAAAUGAGGAAAAUUUUACAUUUUCUCAAACAGGGUAAGGAACUUGGUUCCUCGAAUAACUUCUGGCACAGACAUCUGAGGGCAUGGCCGUCUAAGAAGAAAAUAUAGCCAUUAUUGCCAUCUAUCGAGCACAGGUUAAAGAUUGGCGAUCCGUUGGAUACCAACCGAGUUAUAGUCAAAACUUGGUGCAAAAAUGAGGAAAAUUUUACAUUUUCUCAAACAGGGUAAGGAACUUGGUUCCUCGAAUAACUUCUGGUACAGACAUCUGAGGGCAAGGCCGUCCAAGAAGAAAAUGUAGCCAUUAUUGCCAUCUAUCGACCACAGGUUAAAGAUUGGCGAUCCGUUGGAUACCGACCGAGUUAUAGCCAAAACUUGUUGCAAAAAUGAGGAAAAUUUUACAUUUUCUCAAACAGGGUAAGGAACUUGGUUCCUCGAAUAACUUCUGGCACAGACAUCUGAGGGCAUGGCCGUCUAAGAAGAAAAUAUAGCCAUUAUUGCCAUCUAUCGACCACAGGUUAAAGAUUGGCGAUCCGUUGGAUACCAACCGAGAUAUAGUCAAAACUUGGUGCAAAAAUGAGGAAAAUUUUACAUUUUCUCAAACAGGGUAUGGAACUUGGUUCGUCGAAUAACUUCUGGGACAGACAUCGGAAUUUGAAACUUUUUGAGAAACAGUACAUCAGAAUAGUAGGUGGUAUGUUUUGAUUCAAAAAUCUAUUAUAUUGCAAGCAACAUUAAAUCCGUUGUAUUGAGUAAACCAAUUGAGCGAUUUUAAUAACGUUGACUGUUUUGAAUUUGUUUUUUAAUAUACUUUUCA